rnacentral:rRNA from 1 species
AAAUACUACCCAGUGACCGAUAGCGUAUAGUACUGUGAAGGAAAGGUGAAAAGCACCCCGGGAGGGGAGUGAAAGAGUUCCUGAAACCGUGCGCCUACAAUCCGUCGGAGCCUCCUUGUGGGGUGACGGCGUGCCUAUCGAAAAAUGAGUCUGCGAGUCAGUGGUGCGUGGCGAGGCUAACCCGUGGUGGGGGAGCCGUAGCGAAGGCGAGUCUCAAAAGGCGUUUUGAGUCGCGCGCCCUGGACCCGAAGCGGGAUGAUCUAGCCCUGGGCAGGUUGAAGCGCGGGUAAGACCGCGUGGAGGACCGAACCCACCUGGGUUGAAAACCGGGGGGAUGACCUGGGGCUAGGGGUGAAAGGCCAAUCAAAUUCCGUGAUAGCUGGUUCUCUCCGAAAUGCAUUUAGGUGCAGCGUCGGUUGAUUGCAUCGCGGGGGUAGAGCUACUGGAUGCUUGCGGGCCCGUAUGGGGUACCAAUAGCAGCCAAACUCCGAAUACCGUGGAUGUGUAUUCCGGCAGUGAGUCGGCGGGGGAUAAGCUCCGUCGUCGAGAGGGAGACAGCCCAGAUCGUCGUCUAAGGUCCCGAAGCGUGUGCUAAGUGGGAAAGGAUGUGGAGUCGCAUAGACAGCCAGGAGGUUGGCUCAGAAGCAGCCAUCCUUGAAAGAGUGCGUAACAGCUCACUGGUCUAGUGGUUCCGCGCCGACAAUGUAGCGGGGCUCAAGCACACCACCGAAGACGCGGCAACAGUUUUUGCUGUUGGGUAGGAGAGCGUCCCGCGUGGGGCGAAGCGGCCGGGGAACCGUGCCGUGGACCGCGCGGGAGUGAGAAUGCAGACAUGAGUAGCGAGAGACGGGUGAGGAUCCCGUCCGCUGGAUGACCAAGGGUUCCGGGGCCACGUUCGUCGUCCCCGGGUGAGUCGGGUCCUAAGGCGAGGCCGACAGGCGUAGUCGAAUGGAUGAACGGGUGGAUAUUCCCGUACCGGCGGCGUACCGUAAGAGCCGAACGGAUGAGUACUAACCUCCGGUCGCGUGGCGUCGUUCCCUUCGGGGUUCGGGGUCCGCGGUCGUUGGGAGCGUAGUCCCGGUAGGCUAGCGCACAGGGGUGACACGGAAUGGGAGCCGGCCGCGGAGGAGGUUUUCCGUGGUCAAGCACGCAGCCCGUCCCAUAGGCAAAUCCGUGGGACGCAUAGGGUGAGGUGUGAUGAUGGGCGUCCUUUGGACGCGAUAUCCGGUGGUCCAGGCCGUCGAGAAAAGCCUCGGCGCGAGGGGCGUCGCCGCCCGUACCCCAAACCGACACUGGUGGUCAGGUAGAGAAUACCAAGGCGAUCGAGCGAAUCCUGGUCAAGGAACUCGGCAAAUCACUCCCGUGCCUUCGGUAUAAGGGAGACCCCCGGGCGUGAAGAGGCUUGCCCUCGGAGCGUUGGGGGGUGGCACAGACCAGGGGGUAGCGACUGUUUACCAAAAACACAGGUGCAUGCGAAGGCGCAAGCCGCUGUAUAUGCACUGACGCCUGCCCGGUGCCGGAAGGUUAAGAGGAUCCGUCAGCCCCUUUUGGGGUGAAGCGGUGAAUUCAAGCCCCGGUAAACGGCGGUGGUAACUAUAACCAUCCUAAGGUAGCGAAAUUCCUUGUCGGGUAAGUUCCGACCUGCACGAAUGGCGUAACGACUUCCCCACUGUCUCGACCAGGAGCUCGGCGAAAUUGCAGUACGAGUAAAGAUGCUCGUUAAGCGCAGAAGGACGAAAAGACCCCGGGACCUUUACUAUACCUUGGUAUUGGCGUUAGGCGCGGAUUGUGUAGCAUAGGCGGGAGGCUUCGAAGCAUGGGCGCCAGCCCGUGUGGAGCCGCAAGGUGAAAUACCGCUCUGUUCUCGUUUGACGUCUCACCUCGAACAGUCAUCCUGUUCAGGGACAGUGCCUGGCGGGUAGUUUAACUGGGGCGGUUGCCUCCCAAAGAGUAACGGAGGCGCUCAAAGGUCCGCUCAGCCCGGUUGGCAAUCGGGUUUCGAGUGUAAUCGCACAAGCGGGCUUGACUGCGAGAACGACGGUUCGGGCAGGGACGAAAGUCGGAGAUAGUGAUCCGGUGCCGGCGCACGGGCGCGGCAUCGCUCAACGGAUAAAAGGUACUCCGGGGAUAACAGGCUGAUCAUUCCCAAGAGUCCAUAUCGACGGGAUGGUUUGGCACCUCGAUGUCGGCUCGUCGCAUCCUGGGGCUGG